AUUGAACGCUGGCGGCAUGCUUUACACAUGCAAGUCGAACGGUAACAGGUUAAGCUGACGAGUGGCGAACGGGUGAGUAAUGCAUCGGAACGUGCCCGAUCGUGGGGGAUAACGCAGCGAAAGCUGCGCUAAUACCGCAUACGAUCUGAGGAUGAAAGCAGGGGAUCGCAAGACCUUGUGCUCCUGGAGCGGCCGAUAUCUGAUUAGCUAGUUGGUGAGGUAAAGGCUCACCAAGGCAUCGAUCAGUAGCUGGUCUGAGAGGACGACCAGCCACACUGGAACUGAGACACGGUCCAGACUCCUACGGGAGGCAGCAGUGGGGAAUUUUGGACAAUGGGGGCAACCCCGAUCCAGCAAUGCCGCGUGAGUGAAGAAGGCCUUCGGGUUGUAAAGCUCUUUUGUCAGGGAAGAAACGGUGAAGGCUAAUAUCCUUUGCUAAUGACGGUACCUGAAGAAUAAGCACCGGCUAACUACGUGCCAGCAGCCGCGGUAA
rnacentral:rRNA from 1 species